rnacentral:rRNA from 1 species
GAUGAACGCUGGCGGCGUGCCUAAUACAUGCAAGUCGAGCGAACAGACGAGGAGCUUGCUCCUCUGACGUUAGCGGCGGACGGGUGAGUAACACGUGGAUACCCUACCUAUAAGACUGGGAUCACUUCGGGAAACCGGCGCUAAUACCGGAUAAUAUCUUGAACCGCAUGGUUCAAUAGUGAAAGACGGUUUUGCUGUCACUUAUAGCUGGAUCCGCGCCGCAUUAGCUAGUUGGUAAGGUAACGGCUUACCAAGGCAACGAUGCGUAGCCGACCUGUGAGGGGGGUCGGCCACACGGGAACGGAGACACGGUCCAGACUCCUACGGGAGGCAGCAGAAGGGAAUCUGCCGCAAUGGGCGAAAGCCUGACGGAGCAACGCCGAGUGAGUGAUGAAGGUCUUCGGAUCGUAAAACUCUGUUAUUAGGGAAGAACAAAUGUGGAAGUAACUAUGCACGUCUUGACGGUACCUAAUCAGAAAGCCACGGCUAACUACGUG